rnacentral:rRNA from 1 species
UACGUAGGGCGCAAGCGUUGUCCGGAAUUAUUGGGCGUAAAGAGCUCGUAGGCGGCCUGUCACGUCUGCUGUGAAAUCCCGGGGCUUAACCCCGGGCGUGCAGUCGAUACGGGCAGGCUAGAGUUCGGUAGGGGAGACUGGAAUUCCUGGUGUAGCGGUGGAAUGCGCAGAUAUCAGGAGGAACACCGGUGGCGAAGGCGGGUCUCUGGGCAGUAACUGACGCUGAGGAGCGAAAGCGUGGGGAGCGAACAGG